rnacentral:hammerhead_ribozyme from 1 species
AUCAACUAAUUAGUCCCAAAUAGGACGAAAUGCACGUCCUGGAU